UACGAAGGGGGCUAGCGUUGCUCGGAAUCACUGGGCGUAAAGCACACGUAGGCGGAUCCUUAAGUCGGGGGUGAAAUCCUGGAGCUCAACUCCAGAACUGCCUUCGAUACUGAGGAUCUCGAGUCCGGGAGAGGUGAGUGGAACUGCGAGUGUAGAGGUGAAAUUCGUAGAUAUUCGCAAGAACACCAGUGGCGAAGGCGGCUCACUGGCCCGGUACUGACGCUGAGGUGCGAAAGCGUGGGGAGCAAACAGG
rnacentral:rRNA from 1 species